AUCUUCGGCAAUGGACGGAAGUCUGACCGAGCAACGCCGCGUGAGCGAAGAAGGCCUUCGGGUUGUAAAGCUCUGUCAUGAGGGAAGAACGGCUCGGGUGGCCCCGAGUAUGACGGUACCUCAGGAGGAAGCCCCGGCUAACUACGUGCCAGCAGCCGCGGUAAUACGUAGGGGGCAAGCGUUGUCCGGAAUUAUUGGGCGUAAAGCGCGCGCAGGCGGUGAUUUAAGUCUGAUGUGAAAGCCCACGGCUCAACCGUGGAGGGUCAUUGGAAACUGGAUCACUUGAGUGCAGGAGAGGAAAGUGGAAUUCCACGUGUAGCGGUGAAAUGCGUAGAGAUGUGGAGGAACACCAGUGGCGAAGGCGACUUUCUGGCCUGUAACUGACGCUGAGGCGCGAAAGCGUGGGGAGCAAACAGG
rnacentral:rRNA from 1 species